UCCUUGAUGGUCUAGUGGUCAUGAUUUCCGCUUGUCAAACUCGCUUAGUAAGCGAGUAACAAGCGCGGGAGACCGGGGUUCGAUUCCCCGUCAGGGAG
rnacentral:tRNA from 1 species